rnacentral:rRNA from 1 species
ACACGACUACAUUAGAUACCCGUGUAGUCCCAGCCCUAAACGAUGCGCGUUAGGUGUAUCGGUGACCACGAGUCACCGAGGUGCCGAAGGGAAACCGUGAAACGUGCCGCCUGGGAAGUACGGUCGCAAGGCUGGAACUUAAAGGAAUUGGCGGGGAGCACCACAACGGGUGGAGCCUGCGGUUUAAUUGGACUCAACGCCGGGAAGCUCACCGGAUAAGACAGCGGAAUGAUUGCCGGGCUGAAGACCCUGCAUGACCAGCUG